UGAAUAACCCCGGCAAGCAAUUACACAGCAUGCCUGCUAGCAGGCAAAGCUGUGUAAUUAUUUGCCGGGCAAACAGACAUGAGCAUGAAGGACGAAAGUCCGGAAAGCGAAUGGCUGAGGCGAUUUCGGGAGUUCGAAGAACGGAGAAAUCGUAGUUAUUCA
rfam:Clostridium sp. L2-50 Clostridium_sp-3.0.1_Cont257, whole genome shotgun sequence.